rnacentral:rRNA from 1 species
CAGCCGUAAACUAUGCUCGCUAGGUGUCAGGCAUGGCGCGACCGUGUCUGGUGCCGCAGGGGAGCCGUGAAGCGAGCCACCUGGGAAGUACGGCCGCAAGGCUGAAACUUAAAGGAAUUGGCGGGGGAGCACAACAACGGGUGGAGCCUGCGGUUUAAUUGGACUCAACGCCGGGAAGCUCACCGGAUAAGACAGCGGAAUGAUUGCCGGGCUGAAGACUCUGCAUGACCAGCUGAGAGGAGGUGCAUGGCGUAGACGU